rnacentral:rRNA from 1 species
AAAUUGAAGAGUUUGAUCAUGGCUCAGAUUGAACGCUGGCGGCAGGCCUAACACAUGCAAGUCGAACGGUAACAGGAAGCAGCUUGCUGCUUUGCUGACGAGUGGCGGACGGGUGAGUAAUGUCUGGGAAACUGCCUGAUGGAGGGGGAUAACUACUGGAAACGGUAGCUAAUACCGCAUAACGUCGCAAGACCAAA